GGGCGGACUCGACCGGGAAUAUAGCCCCCUCCUGUCACCGUAAACGGGCUUUAGACGGGGUGACCGCCACAGAGCAGCACAAUAUGGACAGUUGAGUCCUACGCCGUACAACGACGUUCUGUCCAUCAGGAUUGUGACUGCAUGAACCGCGCCAGGCACGGAAGUGAGCAACGCUUAGUGUAGUUCAUGAUGCUUGGUGGGUCGCGGAACCGAGGAAAGCGCGGGAUCAACUCUUCUGUUUAUAGUGUGUUCACCUGUGGAAUGUCCGCCC
rnacentral:SRP_RNA from 1 species